CUGAAAAUUCAACGGCCGCGGUACUCUGACCGUGCAAAGGUAGCACAAUCACUUGUUCUUUAAAUAAGGACUAGAAUCAAUGGCAUCACGAGGGUCCUACUGUCUCCUUUUUCUAAUCAGUGAAACUGAUCUCCCCGUGAAGAAGCGGGGAUAACUUUAUAAGACGAGAAGACCCCAUGGAGCUUCAAACUCAAUAGUUAACUCAUGUAAGCCACAUGACAACUAAGAGAGAUAACUAUUAAUUUUGGGUUGGGGUGACCACGGAGAAUAACACAACCUCCAUAAUGAAAAGAAUAGUACCUUUAUACAUGAGUCACAUCUCUAAGAAUUAGCAAACUAACAUAAAAUGAUCCGAUAUAUCAUUCGAUCAAUGAACCAAGUUACCCUGGGGAUAACAGCGCCAUCCACUUUGAGAGUUCAUAUCGACAAGUGGGUUUACGACCUCGAUGUUGGAUCAGGGUACCCCAGUGGUGCAGCCGCUACUAAAGGUUCGUUUGUUCAACGAUUAAAACCCUACGUGAUC
rnacentral:rRNA from 1 species